rnacentral:tRNA from 1 species
GAUAUGUUAGCCUUGUGGAUAAGGCUUUGGAUCGCCAAUCUGGAAACGGCGGGUUCGAUUCCCGUUCCAGUCG